UAGCCCACUGGGUGUCUGCCUCAUUUUACUCAGCCCCUAUUCAAGAUGGAGUUACUCUGGUUCACACACCUCUGACAUGACCUCCAACAAGUUGUGAACAUUGUGGUAACUUUGUGAGACAAGCCUCAAAUUUUACCACUGUACCAAGAAAUGAAAGCCAGAAUGUGGAAUUGGAGCUGGUAAUGACGACGUCAGGACAGGUUCAAAGGAAGCCCAUCACUUGAGUAAAAAUUUAUAGCCCUGCUUGUGCUGUGCUGUGCUGUGCUGUGAGUUUCAGUUCCGGGCCAGCAAAAGAUUUAUCAAAGGAAAGCAACAAGGUGUGUGGAAAUAGAAGGUAAGAAAAAUUAAUUUCAGAGAGGAAAAUAAAGUUGCUUGAGGGGCUCUUCAAUGACCAAAGGCCAUAAGAGACUGGAAGGCAAAAGGACCCAUUAAUGUAAUCCAAACAUCAGUCUCCUGCAGCAAAGAGGUGAAUGGAGAAGGGUGGAGAGUAGCUGUGGACGAGUGAAAAAGACAUCGCACCAUGUCUUCAAAUUACAUCCAGCAACUUCAUAUGAACUAUGAAACCCUUGUUGCCACAAUAGUCCCUCUUUGUUUGAACUACUACAAGAAUAAAGAAAUUUCUUUCUAAUCUUUUGCAGAAGAAUUACAUAGACUCUCACUUACUGCUCUUGUUUCAUAGGUGGCUGAUUUUCCAAUUAUAUUAAAUACUUUUGGAAGGGCUGGGACUACAUCUAAUUUCUUGAAAAGUCUGGUGCUGUGGAAGACCAAGACCCAGACUGUUGAGGUCAGCCUAAUGUAAUGUGAAAUAUCUAAACUCUGCGUACUUCUUUACCAUGAGUGUAUAGAUAAAAUAUCAUUGCAUUUAAGGAAAUUGCUUAAAGCCUCACAGUGAAUAAA
rnacentral:lncRNA from 1 species